ensembl:snRNA U6 U6 spliceosomal RNA
GUGCUUGCUUUAGCAGCACAUACACUAAAAUUGGAACAAUACACAGAAGGUUAGCAUGGCCCCUUCACAAGGAUGAAACACAAAUUUAUAAAGUGUUUAUUUUUUCA